UACAGAGGUGGCAAGCGUUGUUCGGAAUUACUGGGCGUAAAGGGCGCGUAGGCGGUCUCGUAAGUCCUGUGUGAAAUCCCCCCGGCUCAACUGGGGAACUGCACAGGAGACUGCUUGGCUUGAAUCCGGGAGAGGGAUGCGGAAUUCCAGGUGUAGCGGUGAAAUGCGUAGAUAUCUGGAGGAACACCGGUGGCGAAGGCGGCAUCCUGGACCGGCAUUGACGCUGAGGCGCGAAAGCCAGGGGAGCAAAGCGGG
rnacentral:rRNA from 1 species